CGAGGAGUUGCUUCGGAGGGAGCAGGAGGAGACGACGAUUCGCCAGAUGGCCGUGAUGCUCGCGGUCUCGCUGUUCGCUUCGGCGUUCCUCGU
rnacentral:tRNA from 1 species